rfam:Janibacter sp. HTCC2649 scf_1099316001559 genomic scaffold, whole genome shotgun sequence.
GCCCUCGUAGCUCAGGGGAAGAGCACUUCUCUCCUAAAGAAGGUGUCGGCAGUUCGAAUCUGCCCGAGGGCA